CUGACAUUUUAUUCUGUAAGGCACUAUGAAAAGGCAUGCUGCUCUAUGUUCGCAGCAAACAUAAGCUGUGUCACAGAAAAACAAACGUUUGUGGUAUUUAUUCGCAAAAUAUUCAUGUAACGUCAGCCAAAAUUUCCCCAGCCGUUGCACUGCUGCCAGUAAGUCCAAAUAACUGAGAAGGUCUGGAUAGUCCAGCUCUAAAAAUUGCCCAAUGACUAUAUUUGCAUUCUAUUGAGAUCAGUUUUGCCCUUAAUAGGAUGCAAUGAAAAAAUCCUCAAAUUAUUGGUGUCAAUACAACAAUCGUAAGCAACCGCUAUAAAUCUGACAUUUUGUAAUAAAAUUGCAAAAUUUGGCAGGUAUGUAUUGCCACGGGGAUGAGAGUAGCAAAAAGGGAUAGGGAAAUUAUAUUUACAAGAUAUAUACUGAGAGAGACGGCUGCAGGCAAGAUGGCAGAACACGAGCACUGCCCAGAUCGUCGUCUUCACCGUCUUUCUGGCGCAUUCUUCGAUGCUCGGCACAGCGCGUAACAGUAUUAUGACAUCAAAGCAGAAAACAUUAAUUUUGUGAUGAAAAACAGUCAUGUAUGCAUUUACGUUUUCACCUUUUGUGCUUGUCCUUUUAUUGGUCUACAUUGUGCAACAAGUAAAAUAAAGAAUUGAAUAAUAACUGAAAACAAAGAAAAUCCUAGCCUGUUAACAUACACCUACUCAGUACACUAUCGACACAUCCUGAUUUACUUGUACGAAUACAUAAGCGUGCUCAUCUGUCAAGUCAGGCACAGAAGCGGUUAACUAAAACUUCAGUUCUUGAGCUGCAACAUAUACAACCAUGCUUACACAGGAAACGGCUUUCAGGAGGCCAAUUGUUGGCACACACAUUGCAGAUAGGAUUAUACAUCAAGCAUGGAGCUGACCACAAUGCCCUCAAACUCUUUCCAACAUACAUCUACUGUCUUGCUUCCUGGGCCAACCUUCUGGUUAUGCUUUGAAGCUGCUGUCAGGUUUUGAACCAAGCGCAAUCGCUUUCUUGCUUUGUUAUCUCCUCAUCGUCUUGUCACUUUGCCUUUCACUUAUGUUUGUCAUAUUGACAGAAAUAUUUGAUGAUUUUUCAUUCGUGUGUUGUUCGGACAAAAUCAAUUUUAAAGAAGACAAGAGCGCAAGAGUCGCUAAGUGAUUUUUUAUAACCCAAUUUUUUUAACCCAUUGAUUAUGCGGACCUUCCCGCACUGCUGCGACAUCAGCUGAUAGAACCAUUGUAUAUGGCAACGGAGUCCUUGACGAAUGUUACACGAAUAUUUCAUUAAUAAACUUCAACAUUUCUGCCUGUCUACGGCAGAGACCCAUUGCUGCUGCGACAAUAUUGGGCUGCAUGGCUGUUCACAGCACCAUUACAGAACAAAAUCUGCAAGUCUUACUUAAUAAACAGUGAGCAUAUUGAGUAAUCGAAUAAUGUAUAGUAUUUUCACUAAAUUUAAGUAUUUUUUAGCUUCCACUGUCGUGUUUUCUUAAUUUAAAGGUUGGCAGGCCUAAAAAUCUCAACAGACCAUCUCACCAUGUGGAGGGAUUUUUUAACCAAGCACAUGUUCACUGCUUUUAUCUGCUUUUCACAUGGCUACCCAUAAUCAGUAGCUGUGAUGCAGGUUCUUUAUAUUUGGAAUGGGUUACUUAAGCAAAACCGCAGAGCACCCAAAACAACAUAAAGCCAUUUGCAUACGUCCAACAAAACAUUUAAUGCACACAUGGAAGGGAAAGUACAUAGUAUAGACUUAAGCAGCUGAGAGUAAGAUGGCAUCUUGACUUGACAUAAAUUAACAGCAGACUACAACUAAUAAAGUGGUGGUACAAGACAAAGCAAAUUAGAAAAACAUAGUUCAGCCAAAGAAAGUAGUUCACCGUUGCAUGACUGGCAAGGUGAGAUGAGGAAAGCAGCGAUGUGCUCAACCCAGCAGCUACAGGCUUGACCGAAGGGUCCAAGACAUCACAAAUGUAAUGUCCACACUUGGCCAAAGAAACUGGGGCCAUAUCUGGAACCUUAAACAGGAACACCCGGAGGAGGUGUCCUGGCCCGGCAGCUGUCUGUAAGUUCAGACCCUAAGCUAGCUUGUGUUCUGGCCACAGAAACAGGUGCUUACAGGCAUUGUGUUAGAACUCUGUGGCCUGGUGAAGUUUCAAAGCGUACUCUUGUAGCUAUGUGUUGGCCAGGCCUUGACUGGUUGCCAUGGUCCAGUGAAGUCUCGGCAGCUUGGUUCCAAAAACUGACGAAAUGUCUUCAGCACAUGUCGCUGGGCGACCUCCUUCCUACGUGGCUUUCCUCCAUGUUCCAACUGUCCCCUUAAUCUUUUCCGGGACUUCGUGGUCCCCAGCGAUCAGUCUCUUCUGAGGUCAAUGGUCCACAGUGAUAGGUCCCUUACUUAAAAGGUACAUAAUAGCUAGGUUCCUUAAUUUUCCUGUUUUCUUGCCUUGCAUGCCCUUGUGCCUGUUGCAAAAGAAGAAGGUAACAUCUCUCGCCUAUCAUCAUGGUUCUCAUUAGAGUUCCAUUAAAGGUGGAAGAUUGGGAUAGCCAUAGCAUCUGUCUUGGUUCCUUACAUUUGGUGCCGUAAUACCCAGGACUCCUACUACAGCGGCAGGCGUCUUCCUCAGGUUAGAGGAGGCGGGAGCACAUUCUGCUUGCUUCAGCUACUGUCUGACCUUGCCCUUCAGCAUGACGAGCUCAACCUGUCGGCCCAGCCCUGAUGGCCUGCCUAUCGAUGUGAAGGACAACUGCAAUGACCACUUCGAAGCUUGCAAGGCUUGGACGAUGAAUUCCUUCAUUGACAUCCAUCCUAUUGGCCUAGCCUUCAAAGUGAACAGCACAUAUAAUGCAGACUUAUCUUGUCAUCACAAUGAUGACUGCUCCAUAGCUUGCAAGGCAGGGAUAGUGAGUCUUGUCCGAAGCCUGAUCGUGUAGGCCUAGCCCUUGAAAUCACCGUCUGUGUGCCUGCCGAUAUUCUAGUCCUUCAGCCUGAUGGCCACUCCAAGGUUUGCGAGGCUAGAACGCUGCGCUGAGGUGUUCCCAUCUGAAUUUCGGAAGCUUUGUCCUUUGAGCAGCUAGUGCUGUCACAGCAGUAUUACAGAUGAGAGGAACCAUGACGAUUGCUGAUUUUUGCAAAUGAACUAUGUAGCAUCCUUGGCUGUGGACUCACGGGUGCCCUAGGGACAGAAAAGGCUGAAAUGCAGGACAUUGAGCAGCUGAGAGUUAUGUGAAUGUUCUUGCAUGCUGACAUCAAAGAAGUCACGAAGAAAAGUGAUAAAGAACUUUCAUCUAUGUCACUAAUUGUUGGUAAGUUCUCUCUAG
rnacentral:lncRNA from 1 species